CCUACGGGAGGCUGCAGUGGGGAAUAUUGGGCAAUGGAGGAAACUCUGACCCAGCAACGCCGCGUGAAGGAUGAAGGUUUUCGGAUUGUAAACUUCUGUCGCGAGGGAUGAAGAAUGACGGUACCUCGUAAGAAAGCCCCGGCAAACUACGUGCCAGCAGCCGCGGUAAUACGUAGGGGGCGAGCGUUGUCCGGAAUGACUGGGCGUAACGGUAGUGUAGGCGGCAUAUUAAGUUAUGUGUGAAAGCCCGCGGCUCAACCGCGGAAUUGCACAGAAAACUGGUAAGCUGGAGUGCAGGAGAGGUAAGUGGAAUUCCCGGUGUAGCGGUGGAAUGCGUAGAUAUCGGGAGGAACACCAGAGGCGAAGGCAGCUUACCAAGCUACUUCUGACGUUGAGGCACGAAAGCGUGGGGAGCAAACAGGAUUAGAUACCCCUGUAGUC
rnacentral:rRNA from 1 species